CCAGGGGAGCUUUUUUAUUUGCACCGAUGAGAGCGCGUGCAUAAGGCGCGCAAACUCAGCGGCGUGCUCGCGCGUGUAAAAAAAAAAAAAGCGAGCCGGGGACCGCGUGCCCUUUCAUUAGAGCUUCACUUCGAGGACCCUUCGAACCCCCCUUUACUGUUUCCAAGUGGUACAUUCCAGCCUUGCUUAUAUUCACUGUUGGGCUGCAUGUACACGAUCCAUCCCACCUCUUCCCAAUAAGCAGAUGAUGUGGUCCUGAUGGCUUCAUCUGGCCGGGAUCUUCUCUCACUGGAACGGUUCGCAGCCGAGUGUGAAGCGACCGGAAUGAGAAUCAGCACCUCCAGGUCCGAGUCCAUGGUUCUCACCCGGAAAAGGGUGGAAUGCCAUCUCCGGGUUGGGGAGGAGACCCUGCACCAUGUGGAGGAGUAGAAGUACCUAGGAGUUUUGUUCACCAGUGAGGGAAGAGUGGAUUAUGAGAUCGACAGGCGUCUUCAGUAAGGCGGACAUUGUACCGAUCUGUUGUGGUGAAGAAGGAGCUGAGCCGGAAGGCAAAGCUCUCAAUGUACCGGUCGAUCUACGUUCCCAUCCUCACCUAUGGUCCUAGGCUUUGGGUCGUGAUCGAAAGGAUAAGAUCACGGGUACAAGCGGCCGAAAUGAGUUUCUUCCGCCGGGUGGCAGGGCUCUCCUUUAGAGAUAGGGUGAGAAGCUCUGCCAUCCGGGAGGAGCUCAAAGUAAAGCCGCUGAUCCUCCACAUCGAGAGGAGCCAGAUAAGGUGGUUCGGGCAUCUGGUCAGGAUGCCACCCGAACGCCUCCCGAGGGAGGUGUUUGGGGCACGUCCAACCUGUAGGAGGCCACGUGGAAGACCCAGGACACUUUGGGAAGACUAUGUCUCCCGGCUGGCCUGGGAACGCCUCGGGAUAGAGCUAGACGAAGUGGCUGGGGAGAGGGAAGUCUGGGCUUCCCUGCUUAGACUGCUGCCCCCGCGACCCGAUCUCGGAUAAGCGGAAGAAGAUGGAUGGAUGGAUGGAUGGAUUGUAAUGAUUAAUGAUUACAAUAAUAUUGUCCCAUUCAUCAGUAUGAAUAUAUUAUAUUAACAAAACACCGCUGAUAAAAGUAACCCCAUUUUGUCAUACUUGCAUCCUUUAUUUAACUUUUUUUUAAUUUUAGUUAUAUUGUCCAGCUUCCUCCCAUAGCCAAAGACAUGCACCUGGUGAUAGGCUGAUUGGCAACAUUAAAUUGGCCCUAGUGUGUGAAUGUGCAUGUAAAUGUUGUGUUGGCCCUAGGGUGUACCCCGCCUCCCGCCCAAAUGCAGCAAAGAUAUAACCUAACUCUUGCUAGAUCCUUGUAGUUCGCAGAGCUCCACAGAUGGGCGUCCUCCUUGCCGGCGCAUCUUCCUCCCCGUCGGCCACGGAUGUGGCUUCUACGAGGUCGCCUCCCAAGACUUGUGCGGCAGCGGCGUUCCAUCCGCCGCCGCCACUUGACUUGUCCCCGGUGGAUUCGGGGACACAGGACCUGGCGGCCCUCCACCAUGUCCUCUCUCUGCCCUCGCUUCACUUUUGGACUGUCUUGUUGUGGGGGGAGAAGGGGGGGGAUUCUUUGUAUUUUGUGGGACAUCUGGGAUCUGUCCCUUAAAGGGGGGUACUGUUAUGAUCCGCUGGCCGGAUCAUAUAUAGUUUUUGUUUUUGAGUCCUUUUGUGUAUCUUGUUUGUUCUUGGAGUCUUCCGAUUCUUAGUUUGUGCACUUCCUUGUUUGUUUUGUCACCAUGGUAACUUAAUUUUCACCUGCCUUGACGCACACCUGUGUUGAUUAAUCACGUUCUGUAUUCAAGCCUGCCCUUUCCGUUCACUCGUUCUCUCCUCGUAGCUUGAGUUACAUACUGUUUUGUGUUUCACUAGUGACGCCUCGGCUUUCUGUAUUUGAACUCGCUAAUGCUUCCGCGUUUAGCCUUUUGUUGUUUCUCUAGCUCACAUGCUAGUAACUCUUUGUUUUGCCUUUUGUGCCAAGUGUAAGUUUUUCUGUUUGUUUUCCUAGCUCCCAUGCUAGCGUUCUUAGUUUCCCUUUUCUGCCUAGCACCAGUGUUUUUGUUCUGAGCCUGUUUUUAGUUAAAUAAACCAUGAUUUCUUACCGUA